CUUCAACUCCCCACCUGCAACCAUUGGAUUUGGAGAUCAGUCAAUCCCAAAAGAACGAACUGGAAAAGGAAUGGACGUCAUACAUGGUUUUGUAUCAGGCAUGAGGGCGAGCUUGCUGCCACUGCGAGCUAACCACUUUGAGAUGACAAUGAUGACGAUGAUGCUGCUGCUUUUGAAUAGAGGAAUUUGAGAAGGGUGGUGUUUUGGUUAUGAAUGAUGUCUGAAUGGAAUGUCUGAAUGAUAUAUUAAAAAAACUUUUGGUAGAA